ensembl:snRNA Gm24775 predicted gene, 24775
UCCCUGUGGCAGUGGGCAUACUAAAACUGGAAUGAUGCAGAAAUUAGCAUGGCCUUUGCAUAAGGGUGAUGUGAAAUUUAUGAAACAUUACAUGUAACUUUC